rnacentral:rRNA from 1 species
UAAUACGAAGGGGGCUAGCGUUGUUCGGAAUUACUGGGCGUAAAGCGCGCGUAGGCGGUGAUCCAUGUCAGAGGUGAAAUCCCGGAGCUCAACUCCGGAACUGCCUUUGAAACGGGAUCGCUAGAGUCCGAGAGAGGAUGGCGGAAUUCCUAGUGUAGAGGUGAAAUUCGUAGAUAUUAGGAAGAACACCGGUGGCGAAGGCGGCCAUCUGGCUCGGUACUGACGCUCAGGCGCGAAAGCGUGGGGAUCAAACAGG